GUGGGAGAGCAAAUUCCCAGGAAGUCCCAUAAAAGGGGGAGUAAACUGUGACCACACUAGAUUGCCAGAGCGGGUAAACACAGAAAGGAAUGAGAUUUGACCGGAAAAGCUUCAGGAAUUCGUGAAGAAGCCCAGCAAUGAAGGGGCUGUGGGUGAAAGGUUUGGCAAUCGUCAAAGGGCCAGGCUGGCGGAGGAGGCAGGCUGUAGGGUGCUCAUGUCAGGAACCAUUUCUUCAAGGCAGACAGACAUGGGUAACUGAGGCAGGGGAAGAAGGCAGUAUGAAAAAGUUCCCACAUCUCUCUCACUGGCUCUUGGGGCAGGUUUGAUUCUCCAAGGAUAUCACACUGUUCAAUGAGGAAAUUCACAGCUAUUGCCAUGGGAGCCAACGCCGAGUACCAGACAGCACAACUGUGAUGAAUCAAGGGCAGGGGCACCAAAUGAGAAAGAGGGUAAGACAUCCAAGGGAAGAGUAAGGGAGACCGUGGAAGACAGACAGAGCUGGCCACUGGAGCCUGAAGAGCUGGGCCAAUCAUUGAUCUCGGAACGUAUCAAUCUUUUUCGAUCUGCAAGUUGAAAGGUGCAAGUGGCCAUCAUUCAGAUAUGGGAAAUUAAGGAGUAAUCCAACAUGGAAUAUGGACUUUGACAUGCCAUAACAUAGAUGCUGCUGUAAGCUAUUGGUUCAAUAUUUCCCAAAGUAUAUUCUAUGGGAUUUAAAUAAGGAUCUGUGAUAAAAGUG
rnacentral:lncRNA from 1 species